rnacentral:misc_RNA from 1 species
UCCGGUUUGGCACCGGCAGUCUCCCUAGAGUUCCCGGCAUCACCCGCUGGCAACUAAGGACAGGGGUUGCGCUCGUUGCGCCACUUAAGGCACCACCUGUAUAGGACCCUUACGGACCCCACAUCUCUGCAGCUUUCCGGUAUAUGUCAAACCCAGGUAAGGUUCUUCGCGUUGCAUCGAAUUAAUCCACAUGCUCCGCCGCUUGUGCGGGCCCCCGUCAAUUCCUUUGAGUUUUAGCCUUGCGGCCGUACUCCCCAGGCGGGGCGCUUAAUGCGUUAGCUACGGCACGGAUUCCGUGGAAGGAACCCACACCUAGCGCCCACCGUUUACGGCGUGGACUAC